AGGAGCUUAAAUAACUCACUUAACAUAAAACAUGGAGUCAACUAAGGCUUCCAUUUAACUAGGCUAUCAAACACAAAGCCCUCAUUCUUACAAUACUCUUCUAAUGAUAGUUCCAUCUUUAUGAACAUUCCAGAGAUGGGGUUUCACCAUGUUGCCUAUGGUGGGUGACUUGACUGCACAUCUUUUUUUCUGGGAUCUCUACAUACAGUGUGAAAAAAAUAAGAGAAGAAAUGGAAGCCUAGAGGCAAGAUGACAGAAGAAACUGUAGUGUUAAUCCAGAUAAGACAUUGAAGAGCUAAACCAGGAUUUUGGUAAGACAGAUGGAGAGAUGUGAAUGGAUCUGAAUGCUACCAAGAAGGUCAAAUUCAACGGUGCUUACAGGCAUACCUUGGAAACAUUGCAGAUUUAGUUCUAGAACACCACAGUAAAGCAAAUAUUGCAAGAAAAUGAAUCACAUGAAUUUUGGGUUUCCCAGCGCACAUAAAAGUUAUGUUUACACUAUACUAUAGUCUAAGUGUGUAAUAGCAUUAUGUAUUUUAAAAGUACAUGCC
rnacentral:lncRNA from 1 species